ACUCACAUGAGUUCCACCAACCAAGUACUCACAAAAGUAGCUACAGACUUUGAGAUUUAGACGAACCACGGAACACCCACUUGGUUACUUUCUUCUCCAAGAAAAAAAGAAAUAAUUCCUCCCAUCUAAUUUCAACAUUUAGGUAGAUCCCUAUACUGAAUGCUCUGGGUUUUCUCCCAAUUGGUGGCUGUCGGUAUUAACCUGAAUUGAGACACUAACAUGCCAGAAACAAGGUCCUUACAUGAAGGAAACUUUGUUAAUAAAUUUCCCCCGCAGAUUCUCAACAACAUAUAACCAUGUCAAGUGGCUUGCUUUCACCGUCUGAACUCUCAAACUAAGCACCUCAAGUGAAUCUUCUUGCAUGAAAAUAUUUAACAUCUUGUAAGAACACUAUAGUUUCUGUGUAAAUCGUAGAUGAUUAGAAAAGGAAAAACCUCUACAACCCCUUCCAGUUCACAGCAAGAAAAAUCAAUUUUAAUCCAAAACAAAGGACUGUACAUAGGAGCUACUAUAAUUUGAACCGUGAAGAUCCUUCACCGAUGUCAUGUUCAUGCUACUUGGGACAGGGUUAACCCAAAA